UUCAUUAAUAUAGAGAAAAUGGCUUGCAUUAAAGAAGAAAGAAAACUGAGAUGGGGCAAAAAGAAGAUACAAACAAGAAUCCACAAACGAACACAAAACGCAUAAACAACAUAAGCAUUAUCAUCAUCUGCAAUGUCUAGGGAUCAAAGAUGCUGCAUCCGUCACAUUUUUUUUUUCUCAAAACAGGAUUCAAAAUCUGAAAGGUGCACAUCAGAUUUUCAUCUAUGCUCAUCAUGGCACCAACAUUAUCAUAUUCACCACGAUAGUUGGGAGCUGAAAAAA
rnacentral:misc_RNA from 1 species